AUGCCUCUCGUUCGCCCCUCUUCCAUCCAUACCCAUGUUGAUGGCUUCUAUAAAGCCCUAUUUACCCCCACCCCUCGGGGUGGGGCUAGUCUUGCCCCCGACAUUUGGUCGGGUGAUCAAUUGGUCUCUGACGAGGCCAACACGGCAUUAGUGGCCCCCUUCGCCGAAGAUGAAGUCCUCGCGGCCAUUAAAGGGAUGAACCCCUCUUCGGCCCCGGGCCCGGAUGGCCUGUCAGUAACGUUCUUCAAAAUGUUCUGGCCGACUAUCAAGACGGAGGUCAUGGCCUUGUUUGAGGAAUUGUAUUUGGGAUCUAUGGAUCUUGGGCGUCUCAACUAUGGAAUCGUGACCCUCAUUCCGAAGGUCCCGGGCGCUUCCGACAUCCGCCAGUUCCGGCCUAUCACAGUGAUUAAUGUGAUAUUCCGGAUCCUAGCCAAAGGGUACGCCAAUAGGGUGACCCUGCUCGCUGACGCGAUUACCCAUCCGAACCAAUCCGCCUUCAUUCAAGGCAGAUUUAUUCUGGAUGGGGUGCUGGUAUACCACGAAGUCCUUCACGAAGUCCAGAUGAAACGCCAUCGGGCUAUCUUUCUGAAGUUGGACUUUCACAAAGUGUAUGACAUGGUCCACUGGCCAUUCUUGCGGGAAGUGCUGCUUCGCAAAGGCUUUGAUGACCGUUGGGUGACCCGUGUCAUGCAGCUUGUCUCCUGUGGCCGGACCGUCGUGAACAUCAAUGGCGACAUUGGGCCCUACUUCCCCACACUUUGUGGGGUCCGUCAGGGUGACCCGUUCUCGCCAUUCCUGUUCAACAUGGUAGUGGACACCCUGGCAUCCAUCUUGGAUAAGGCCAAGGAUGCGGGCCAUAUCCACGGCAUAGUCCCCCACCUAGUUGGAGGGGGAGGGGUCUCCCUCCUUCAAUAUGCAGAUGACACGAUUAUAAUGGUGGAGGGCUCCGUCCAGGAUAUUGCUAACCUGAAGUUCCUCCUCCUGUGCUUCUAA
rnacentral:rRNA from 1 species